CACGUAGGCACCAAGCGUUGUCCGGAUUUAUUGGGCGUAAAGAGCUCGUAGGCGGUUCGGUAAGUCGGGUGUGAAAACUCUGGGCUCAACCCAGAGCCGCCACCCGAUACUGCUGUGACUUGAGUUCGGUAGGGGAGCGGGGGAAGUUCCUGGUGUAGCGGUGAAAUGACGCAGAUAUCAGGAGGAACACCGGUGGCGAAGGCGGGUCUCUGGGCCGAUACUGACGCUGAGGAGCGAAAGCGUGGGGAGCGAACAGG
rnacentral:rRNA from 1 species